rnacentral:rRNA from 1 species
UACGUAGGGGCAAGCGUUGUCCGGAAUUACUGGGCGUAAAGGGUGCGUAGGCGGCCUCGCAAGUCAGAUGUGAAAGCUCAAGGCUUAACCUUGGAAUGUCAUCUGAAACUGCGGGACUUGAGUAUCAGAGGGGAAAGUGGAAUUCCUGGUGGAGCGGUAAAAUGCGCAGAGAUCAGGAGGAACACCGGUGGCGAAGGCGACUUUCUGGCUGACAACUGACGCUGAGGCGCGAAAGCGUGGGGAGCAAACAGGAUUAGAUACCCCGGUAGU